AGCAGCCGCCGCGGUAAUACGUAGGUGGCAAGCGUUGUCCGGAGUUAUUGGGCGUAAAGGGCUCGCAGGCGGUUUCUUAAGUCUGAUGUGAAAGCCCCCGGCUCAACCGGGGAGGGUCAUUGGAAACUGGGAAACUUGAGCGCAGAAGAGGAGAGUGGAAUUCCACGUGUAGCGGUGAAAUGCGUAGAGAUGUGGAGGAACACCAGUGGCGAAGGCGACUCUCUGGUCUGUAACUAACGCUGAGGAGCGAAAGCGUGGGGAGCGAACAGGAUUAGAUACCCCAGUAGUCCCUGUCUCUUAUAA
rnacentral:rRNA from 1 species